rnacentral:sRNA from 1 species
GCCGGGCAUAGUGGCGCAUGCCUGUAGUCCCAGCUACUCGGGAGGCUGAGGCAGAAGGAUCACUGGAGCCCAGGAGUUUGAGGUUGCUGUGAGCUAGGCUGAUGCCACGGCACUCACUCUAGCCUGGACAACAAAGCGAGACUCUGUCUCAAAAAAAAAAAAAAAAAGAGUCAGGGUCUUUCUCUAUUGCCUAGGCUGGAGUGCAGUGGCAUGAUCAUAGCUCACUGUAACCUUGAACCUUUGGGCUCAAGUGAUCUUCCUGCCUCA